rnacentral:rRNA from 1 species
CGGGGGGCCCGCACAAGCGGUGGAGCAUGUGGUUAAUUCGACGCAACGCGCAGAACCUUACCCGGGCUAGAAAAACACGGAACCCUCUAGAAACAGAGGGUGCUCGCAAGAGAGCCGUGGUCCAGGUGCUGCAUGGCUGUCGUCAGCUCGUGUCGUGAGAUGUUGGGUUAAGUCCCGCAACGAGCGCAACCCCCUGUCCUUAGUUGCCAUCAUUCAGUUGGGCACUCUAAGGAGACUGCCGGCGUCAAGCCGGAGGAAGGUGGGGAUGACGUCAAGUCCUCAUGGCCCUUAUGUCCGGGGCUACACACGUGCUACAAUGGUCGGUACAGAACGCAGCUAACCAGCGAUGGGGAGCCAAUCGGCAAAAGCCGACCUCAGUACGGAUUGCAGUCUGCAACUCGACUGCAUGAAGCCGGAAUCGCUAGUAAUCCCUGAUCAGCAGGCAGGGGUGAAUACGUUCCCGGGCCUUGUACACACCGCCCGUCACACCAUGGGAGUCGACUGCUCCAGAAGUGGCUGAGCCAACCCGCAAGGGAGGCAGGUCCCCAAGGAGUGGUCGGUAACUGGGGUGAAGUCGUAACAAGGUAGCCGUAAAGGGCGAAUU